CUUUUGUGGGUGAAGCUUUUGUGAUAGGGGAAGCUUUUGUGGGUGAAGCUUUUGUUGGUGAAGCUUUUAUGGGUGAAGCUUUUGUAGGUGAAGCUAUUGUGGGUGAAGCUUUUGUAGGUGAAGCUUUUGUUGGUGAAGCUUUUAUGGUGGGUGAAGCUUUUGUAGGUGAAGCUAUUGUGGGUGAAGCUUUGGAGUUGAAGCUUUUGUUGGGUACCAUGAAUUGAUUUUGCUUCACACUAUCUUGAUGAAGAUAGUGUGAAGCUUUUGAGAAUUUGUAGUUGUCCUCCAUUGAUGAAGCUUUUGUUGGUGAAGCUUUUAUGGUGAAGCUUUGUUGGGUACCACGAAUUGAUUUUGCUUCACACUAUCUUGAUCAAGAUAGUGUGAAGAUUUUAAGAAUUUGUAGUUGUCCUCCAUUGAUGAAGCUUUUGUUGGUGAAGGUUUGGAGUUGAAGCUUUUGUUGGGUACCAUGAAUUGAUUUUGCUUCACACUAUCUUGAUCAAGAUAGUGUGAAGCUUUUGAGAAUUUGUAGUUGAACUCCUUUGAUGAAGCUUUUGUUGGCACCAUAAAUUGGUUUUGCUUCACACUGUCUUGAUUAAGAGUGUGUGAAG
rnacentral:lncRNA from 1 species